rnacentral:miRNA from 1 species
AGCGCGGGCUGAGCGCUGCCAGUC